rnacentral:tRNA from 1 species
UCGAAUGUAGCUCAGCUGGUCAGAGCAUCCGCCUGAUACGCGGAAGGUCGGUGGUCCGAUUCCACCCAUUCGAA